CGUCACUUAUUUAAUUCAGACCAAUGAAAACACAGCAUACAUCCACGUCGAUCUACCUUUCCUCUGAUGGGCUUGAACCGAAAUCAGACUCUGGGCUUUUAAUCUGAGCUAAUGAACGCGAUUGUGUUUUCCGUUUCUCUUCGAUUGACGAAGGCGGUGACGAUUCAGUUCCUGUAACGGGCGGCGUUGUGAUUACUCUGUCUUUAAUCCCAUUAAUUUUUAUUUCAGUUGCGUUUUUCCGUCGACGAUUUCGAUAUAAAUAGGUUAGUAACUCUCUUCUGCGGAUCACCAUCUCCAUAAUCUCUAUGCUACUCAUCUUUCUCAUACUCAUCUCUUCCUACACAUCUCUCUUGAUGGCUGCUAACCCGAAAUUGUUUUCUCGACUUGAAAUCCGGCCGGUUUUCAUCGGUUGUCGAGGCCAGGCUGCUCGGGUGGGGAGCUUAUUCUGGUGGAUUUGCUCAUGGUGGAUGUUGAGUGAUCUUUUCUGUUUUAAUCUAUAUAUCGAUUGUUCUGAGAUAUUAUUUACCGUCGUCCUGUUCACGAGUCAUGUUCGUGUGUCCGGUUAACAUCAUGUUGUUAUGUUUUUUUUUCCUGAUUUUUGUUUUUUUUUUUAUAAAAUUAACUCUUAUUUGUUCUGACCUAUUUUCCUCGGCGAACUGUAUCGAACUGAUGACGACUCCCAAAAAAGGUUUUCAAUUUCAAUAGUCAGGGAUGAUUUCGUUUUGUGGGUUGAAUCAAAGUGAUGGAGAAUGUGCCUGAUGACUUAGCUAGCGACAACGUAGCCGAGGUUGACGUGAGCGGUAAAUACAUUGACGCAGUAGACCUCGAGAGACGGCUGUGGAAGGAUCGUGUACGCCUCAAAAGAAUCAAAGAACGUACCAACAAAACCGGUUCCCAAGCGAAGCGCCCAAGAAGAUCUCUGACCAACAAAACUGUGGUGAACAGUGACAAUGAUGUUGACGGGACAGAGGAGGCUUCAGGUUCAUUAACAGCCACCUCGCAGCCAGUAAGAGAUCAAGAUAAAGCAGAGAAACACAGGAGAAGGAAAAGACCAAGAAGCAGAUCAGAAGCUGAACAGAGAAAUGUUAUACCUGACAUGAAUCAUGUUGAUGCCUCUGCUAGGACAUAACAUCAACGGUACUCAUCACCGUGAAGAAGGUGUUUUGGAACCAAACAUAGCCUUAGGACCAGAGGAGAACGGUCUGGUAUUGGUGGUUCCAGAGUUUGAUAGCAACUGUACUCAUCUUCUCCCUGUUAGUGGACAAGCUAUGAUGCCUGUAGAGGAACGGUUUACGGACCAAACCAUAACCAGGAGUUGCAGUUUGGGUCAGGUUAAAACUUCUAUAAUCCUUCUGCAGUGUUUGUGAAUAAUCAGGAAGAAGAUCUUAUAGAAAUGAACCCAUCUCACAACAAUGGGUUUGAGGCCUCAGUAGAAGUACUUCAACCCCACCCCAUGGUUUACAUGAAAAUGAAGAAAGAGAUUUGUCUACUCAGUUUCAGAGUGACAGUAACAGUCUCAGAGAUUUGAUUCCUAUUGUGCAUUUGAUGAUGACUUCUCAUGGUUUCGAGCAUAGUUUCUUGACGUUUUUGUUGGGAGGUUAAGUAAGUAACCAUUGUGAGGUAGCUUAAGAUCUUAUAAUCUUUUGGUAUUGUCUUAAUUUUUUCUUUUUUUUUGGCAAGUUAUGUUGCAGGUUCAAAAAAACAUGGCAGUAGUCUUGAAUAACUAUGAGCUUGAUUAUGAGAUCCAAUUAUUUGCAAAAGACUUA